rnacentral:rRNA from 1 species
GAUAAACGCUGGCGGCGUGCUUAACACAUGCAAGUCGAACGAAGUUUUUCUUUCGGGAGGAACUUAGUGGCGGACGGGUGAGUAACGCGUGGGUAACCUGCCCUGUACAGGGGGACAACAGCUGGAAACGGCUGCUAAUACCGCAUAAGCCCUUAGCACUGCAUGGUGCAUAGGGAAAAGGAGCAAUCCGGUACAGGUUGGACCCGCGUCUGAUUAGCCAGUUGGCAGGGUAACGGCCUACCAAAGCGACGAUCAGUAGCCGAUCUGAGAGGAUGUACGGCCACAUUGGGACUGAGACACGGCCCAGACUCCUACGGGAGGCAGCAGUGGGGAAUAUUGCACAAUGGAGGAAACUCUGAUGCAGCGACGCCGCGUGAGUGAAGAAGUAUUUCGGUAUGUAAAGCUCUAUCAGCAGGAAAGAAAAUGACGGUACCUGACUAAGAAGCACCGGCUAAAUACGUG